ensembl:snRNA U6 U6 spliceosomal RNA
GUACUUGCUUCGGCAGCACAUACGCUGAAAUAGGAAUGAUACCGAGACAGUCAGGAUGGCCACUGCGCAAGGGUGACAUGGACGAGCAUGAGGCGUUCCAUAUUUAA